rnacentral:rRNA from 1 species
UACGUAGGGGGCAAGCGUUGUCCGGAUUUAUUGGGCGUAAAGAGCUCGUAGGCGGUUCCGUAAGUCGUGAAGUCAAAUCUCUGGGCUCAACCCAGAAUCGCUUCCGAUACUGCUGAGCUCGAGUCCGGAAGAGGAGUGUGGAAUUCCUGGUGUAGCGGUGAAAUGCGCAGAUAUCAGGAGGAACACCAAUGGCGAAGGCAGCACUCUGGGACGGUACUGACGCUGAGACGCGAAAGCGUGGGGAGCGAACAGG